GUUGCACUGGGCCAUCUGUUUCCUGCCAGUACCCUGCUGAUACAAAACUCCAGAUAAACAGCCUGAAAGAGAAUUUGACAAGGAAAAGUGUGGUCAGCACAGUGAUACCGCUGUCUCUUCCAAAGGGCCGUUGCACCAACCCUCCUUCAGUUUCUGCAGAUGGUGGUUAACCCUGAUAGCUUUUCCUGCCUUGUGGAAACUCCCAGACUCCCUCUCAAGGUGAUUUGGGAUGCUUCACUUAGUUGUGAAAGACAAGGGCCUGCCUCUCAGAUCCGAGGCCAGCGCAGAGCCAAGAAUAAGGAGGCAAAAGAGGUUAAAACUCCCAGCGGGGCUCUCUGCAGUGACACCACCACCCGGAAGUCCUCAGAGCGCCUGAAAAACCACCGCCAAGUCAGGGGCAGUCAGCAAUCUCCAUAAACUGAUGAGCAGGACACAGAAGCGCAGUGCCAUUUAUUUUGCAAUAGCAAAAUCAAUCCACUUUCCCAUAAUCCUGCAACUUAUUGAACUCGGCAUCUCGCUGCAGGAUACGCCCCCGAACUCUCCCUAAUUACGUAUUUGGCUGCUUGCAAUCGUGACUUGGCUCUGCAGUCCUGAUAGCAGAGAACGGGCCUCUUAGAAGCC
ensembl:lncRNA